rnacentral:snoRNA from 1 species
AUACAAGGAAGGGGGACUGUGAUGCUCCUUUGGGACCUUUCACGUCUGUUUCCCUGUUAUUGUUACUUAACUUCCUUAUCACCGCACUGGCAAUUUGGCGCUCGAGAGGCAGAGUCUCAAGGAACCAAGGUCUUUAUUUCAGUGUUAUACAUCUCCUCUGGGUCGCAAGAUCUGGGGUCUGAGUCGUUGAUGUUGAAAUUCUUGGUUGUUGCCAUUUUAUAUAUGGAUGAGACAGAAGCAGCCCCGUCAACGAGUAUUUAGAGUAAGUAGAAUGCACGGUUUUGAGUUCUCCAGUUGUUGUUUUUUUGCACUCGUGUAAGAAAGGGGGCUUUUGGAUUGAGCUCGACCGUCUUAGUUGUCGUUCUAUAGCAGUAUAUUCCUGAACACUGUGAAGAUCCUAGUUUGGUCUAUUAUCACUUGGGUAAAACCAUACUGCAAACAUUU